rnacentral:rRNA from 1 species
CCCUUAGAUGUUCUGGGCCGCACGCGUGCUACACUGAGUGGAUCAGCGGGUCAGGUUGCGCGAAAGUGUUUCCUAAUCUUGAAAUCCGCUCGUGAUGGGGAUUGACGGUUGCAAUUUUCCGUUAUGAACGAGGAAUACCUUGUAAGCGCGGGUCAUCAUCCCGCGCUGAAUACGUCCCUGCCCUUUGUACACACCGCCCGUCGCUCCUACCGAUUGAGUGGUCCGGUGAGGCUUUGGGAUCUGAGCAAAGAGAGCGUUUCGCUCGUUUUGCCCGGAAAACUCAGUCGAACCUUAUCAUUUAGAGGAAGGAGAAGUCGUAACA